rnacentral:rRNA from 1 species
GUCAUAUGCUUGUCUCAAAGAUUAAGCCAUGCAUGUCUCAGUACAAGCCAAAUUAAGGUGAAACCGCGAAAGGCUCAUUAAAUCAGUUAUGGUUCCUUAGAUCGUACCCACAAUUACUUGGAUAACUGUGGUAAUUCUAGAGCUAAUACAUGCAAACAGAGCUCCGACCGGAGACGGAAGGAGUGCUUUUAUUAGAUCAAAACCAAUCGGUGGCGGGUUCGCUCGCUAUCGUACAACUUGGUGACUCUGAAUAACUUUACGCUGAUCGCACGGUCAUCGCACCGGCGACGCAUCUUUCAAAUGUCUGCCUUAUCAACUGUCGAUGGUAGGUUCUGCGCCUACCAUGGUUGUAACGGGUAACGGGGAAUCAGGGUUCGAUUCCGGAGAGGGAGCCUGAGAAACGGCUACCACAUCCAAGGAAGGCAGCAGGCGCGCAAAUUACCCACUCCCGGCACGGGGAGGUAGUGACGAAAAAUAACGAUACGGGACUCAUCCGAGGCCCCGUAAUCGGAAUGAGUACACUCUAAACCCUUUAACGAGGAUCAAUUGGAGGGCAAGUCUGGUGCCAGCAGCCGCGGUAAUUCCAGCUCCAAUAGCGUAUAUUAAAGUUGUUGCGGUUAAAAAGCUCGUAGUCGAAUUUGUGUCUCGCGCCGCCGGUUCAUCGUCCGCGGUGUUAACUGGCGAGUCGCGAGACGUCCUGCCGGUGGGCUUAGCUCGCGAGGGCGGCCCAACUCAAUCCUGCCGCGGUGCUCUUCAUUGAGUGUCGAGGUGGGCCGGCACGUUUACUUUGAACAAAUUAGAGUGCUUAAAGCAGGCUAAAACUUCGCCUGAAUACUGUGUGCAUGGAAUAAUGGAAUAGGACCUCGGUUCUAUUUUGUUGGUUUUCGGAACCCCGAGGUAAUGAUUAAUAGGAACGGAUGGGGGCAUUCGUAUUGCGACGUUAGAGGUGAAAUUCUUGGAUCGUCGC